UACGGGGGGGGCAAGCGUUGUUCGGAAUUACUGGGCGUAAAGGGCUCGUAGGUGGCCAACUAAGUCAGACGUGAAAUCCCUCGGCUUAACCGGGGAACUGCGUCUGAUACUGGAUGGCUUGAGUUUGGGAGAGGGACGCGGAAUUCCAGGUGUAGCGGUGAAAUGCGUAGAUAUCUGGAGGAACACCGGUGGCGAAGGCGGCAUCCUGGACCAACACUGACGCUGAGGAGCGAAAGCCAGGGGAGCAAACGGG
rnacentral:rRNA from 1 species